GAUGAACGCUGGCGGCGUGCCUAAUACAUGCAAGUCGAGCGAACGGACGAGAAGCUUGCUUCUCUGAUGUUAGCGGCGGACGGGGGAGUAACACGUGGAUAAUCUACCUAUAAGACUGGGAUAACUUCGGGAAACCGGAGCUAAUACCGGAUAAUAUUUUGAACCGCAUGGUUCAAAAGUGAAAGACGGUCUUGCUGUCACUUAUAGAUGGAUCCGCGCUGCAUUAGCUAGUUGGUAAGGUAACGGCUUACCAAGGCAACGAUGCAUAGCCGACCUGAGAGGGUGAUCGGCCACACUGGAACUGAGACACGGUCCAGACUCCUACGGGAGGCAGCAGUAGGGAAUCUUCCGCAAUGGGCGAAAGCCUGACGGAGCAACGCCGCGUGAGUGAUGAAGGUCUUCGGAUCGUAAAACUCUGUUAUUAGGGAAGAACAUAUGUGUAAGUAACUGUGCACAUCUUGACGGUACCUAAUCAGAAAGCCACGGCUAACUACGUG
rnacentral:rRNA from 1 species